AUCUAGCUGACGAGUCUGAAAUAGGAUGAAACACGUGUCCUAGAU
rfam:Schistosoma curassoni strain Dakar, Senegal genome assembly, scaffold: SCTD_scaffold0000780